UCUGCUCUGGCACAAUCCCAGCAGUGGCUGGUGGGGAAUUGCUGUUUUUACAUUUCUGUAUUAUUUUCCCAUAAGGAAUAUGGAUAGCAAAUGAAAUAUUCAGCCCCAUUGUUUGAUUUAUUCCUUUUAUUAUCCUCAAAUAUCAGCCCAGCAGUCAAAGGAUGCCUCACCACAUCCAGGGGGCCACUCGGGGCCUGACAGCCUAUCAAGUCUCCUCGCAUAAACAGACCCUCUCCCUGCCUGAACCUGCAGUGGCCGUCAAAGAAAUCCAUCCAUCCGCCCAGGAUGACUAUGACUGAUGCCACCAAAUGAUCCAUUUGUAUCCCUUUUCUCAUUCUCCUCCUUUCUCUUUCUUCUCUCUGUUGUUUUCUCUUCUAUUUCGCUUUCUCUCUCUUUGUCUCCUUCACUUCAUUCUCUUGCUAUGUUGUUGCAGAAUGUGAGGCACGUGGAAGUAACAGUGCAAUCACUAUUUGACCUUGGAGACACUGAUAAUUCUUCACUUGCAAGGUUUGAUUCCAAAGUCUAGUUGAACUUUGACAUGCUGAGAAAUCAAUGUUUAGGGAUCUAUAGACAAAACAUGUCCUUAAAACUGCAAUGUGGGUUGAUUCAGAGUUGCGUCAGAGUGCCCGAUUAGUUCGACGGGACGCGUCUCUCCUUCAUUCAUUAAGCUGUAAUUGGAUGUGAUUCUCACUCAGGAACGCAGCAUCCUCAGAUUCCUCCAAGGCAUGCGAGGUGAUGAUGACAGUGUUAGAAAGAGCUGUUAAUCCAUCUUGUAAUUGCACGGAGCAGACGGCAGGGUCGGCCGUGCCCUCUGAAAAGGCUGCAAGAGAAACAUUUAGUCACCAGACGUGAACAAUAGGAGGGCAUUGUGUCGUUUUGGUGCGUCUGCAUGUGCAACAAAAAGCUUUUGUGUAUAUGUUUUUUUUGUGGUAGCAUGUAAAAUGAAAGUGAAAGGUGGGAUUUUGUACACGUGAUGCCGGUCUGUGCAUGUAUGUUGAAGCUUAUAUUGUUUGUGCAUGGUGGUGUGUGUGUGUGUGUGCGUGUGUGUGUGUGUGUAUGGUGGGGGUCCCUUUUCCUUGCUAUUCAAAGACAAUUUGUAAAGCCGUCUGUUGACGCCAGGCCGAAGCCCUUGGAACAGCUGGAGCCCCUCCAUGAUUGAUAAAUGUGGCGGCGAGAACUUCAUCUCCCCCUGAAUGAAGACAAAGGCCCCACAACGCUCCGCCAGUGUGUUACGCCUGCCUGUCGUUAAGUGUGGGGACUGCGGACCUGCCCCGGUCCUCAGCUGGGGGAGUCGAGGUGCCAAGAGGGAGGCAUCCUCCACGCUGCAACAAAGUGGAUUUCUGGCCCAUCCAUUGCGCUGCGCUUGUCGACAUUUCAGCUGCCAGGACGCACAAUGAAUGAGUGAAUAUUGAUGAACAACAAGAUGAACCCGGGCCAUUUUUCCCCGUUACUGCUGGCGUGGAGGUGGUGAAAAGAGGAGAGG